CAGACCUCAUUUUAGGGUUGGCAUUGGAGAUCAGGGCAUCUCUUGCUGGAGAUCCCUGUAUACCUGAGGCCUUCCAAAGACAGACUGCUUAGCUCCCUUCACAACUUCCUUCAGCCCACAUCCCUCCAAUAAACAAACAGCUCUGAUUCCCGUGAGCAGGAACCACUCUACAUACCCUGUUGUACAGGCUCAUCUUGAAGUUCUGGAAGAAGUACCACUUGUGAGCUUCACUGGACGGCAAGCUCUUGUACUUCAUCACAGCAUCAUAGCCAAAUUUUGUGAACUCCUGAUUCUGGUUGAACAGGAUGCAGGUGGGAGUCUUCGGGGUCUUGUACCCAUGCUCCAUUCCCCAGAACACCUGGCGGAUUUGGUCUGUGCCUGUAGCAAGGGAAAAACAGUACCCACUGUAGGAUGUGCCAAAAUCUAUAGAAACAACAAAGACUGAACUGCUGGCCAUAGCUGACAGCAGCACAGAGCUGCACAGUGCUCGAGUUACAGAGAACUACAACUAUCCAACAGGAACGAAGCCAGUACUGCUCUGGCAGCAGCAAGAAGCCAGCCCAUCCCUGUCUCAAUUGGCUGGGAAGAGAUUAGAGUGUGACUACAGUUACAAGAAUAACUGCUAUUUCCCGUAAAAAGGAGGAGCUGAAGCUCACAGUAGGAAAGCAAGUGCCUGAUAUUCACAGUAGCUUCCUGCGCACUCAGCAGCACAGUCCCUUGUGUUGCUGCUCAUUUGGGCAAACAUUUUUUCCUGCUGUAAGAGCAUGGAUAGCUUUAUGGCUGACUUCUACAGCCAAGAUGAGAUCUCUGAAGGAGAGUAUGUGGAUGCUGAUCCUAGACAGGCGACUUCAGAAGAUGUCAGUAGAGAAACAUUUAAUACCCCACAGCAAAAAUCAAUCUGUGGAAGCAAUACUUCAGAGAAGGAUACACUAAAACUUAAUGAAAGGCUGGAGCAGGUGGAAAAAGAACUUUGUGAGAACAGAUCUUGGCGUGAUCAUGUUGAGGCUCGACUGCAAGCUCUGGAGAAGCCCAAGAGUGUAUAUCCUGGAAUGGUCAUCCAAAAAGGGGUUCAAGAGAAAGAAGAAUGUGAGAAGCUCAAAGAGAAGAUCAGAGAGCUAGAGGCACGAUACCAAAAGCUCUUGUCUAAAGCAAUGAGCACGCACAAGCAGUCAGAGAACAUGAAUGACCCUUUGCGUUUGUCUGCUGUGCUGGAUAUGUAUAGGAUGCUUAAGCUACAAGAAUGGGGGAAAUGCUGGCACAGCUCAGCCCGUUUGUCCUAUCCAAGGGCCAGAAACAUCAUCCAGAAGAACACAUUCAAAUCCCAGUCCCAUAUCUCAUCCAUGUUAAGGAAAACGUAGUCCAGUUUCCUCAUGGUUGACACCUUAAGUACUGUAUGGGAGAUCCCAGUCUGAUGGCUGACUCUUUGCUCUGAUCCUGAGGGUGUCUAAAGGAAAGUAUCAAAAUGGUGAAAUUUAAAGGACGAGGCUGAGGUGAAGCAUUUAUUAGCAUAUGGAUGCUGAAGAAUGGCCUUCAACAUGCAAACAGCUCACAGAAGUAGUUUAUUUCCCAGGUAUUAACGAUGUGUUUGAGUCAAUUAGGGAUCCUACAGUUUACUGGGAUUCAGAUGUUGUUUUGGCCCAUGCUUCCCACACCAUGCUUCUCAUUUCACUGUGAUUGCUGUUGUGAUCAGAUCUUCUCUUUGCAUUACAGAAGCUGUUUGAUGCCUGUGAGAGAGAUAUCGAGAAGAGAAAAAUUGGCAUACUUCAAAUCCUUGGCAUUCCAUCUUUGUAUUAUGCUGCAAACAGCUGCAAACAAGAGCUGAUGCUAGAUAUAGUGAAACUCUUGAGAUACGGUUAUUACCAUAACGACUCAAGCAUUUGCAGGGAAAUUACUAUGAACGCUGAUCUUCAUCUGAAAAUUACGGAUCAAAAGGAAUUUGCACUGCAGUGCUGCAGAGUUUUCUGUCUGCUGCUUCUUCAGGACUCACCAGUUAAAGCUGUGUGGAACCUAUAUGAAUGCUCUCUGCAACAUUUAGAGCAUGUGGACCAGAAAGACUUAAAGUACUGUAAAAAAACAGAGCUUCAAAUUCUAUGGCCCGUACUGAAGGAUGGGGAAGAAGUCAUUGAGAAAGGUGUAGUGUGGGAUGGAAACUAACAAGGCUUUAAUAUCAAGCUUAUACUUAUAUGACCAUAAGAAGAUGAAACAGCUGUUGUGCAAUUUGUUGCUUUUCUUUCUCCUAUGAGCAGCCUGCUUUUCAUAUCUAGUUACAUGUUUCUGGCUUGGGACACCAUGAAUAAACUGUUAUUGACAAACAGCUAUUAAAAAGUGAAAGUUUGCCUUUGUUACAUUUUAUGUAACUUUGAUUGUCACUAUCUCUAAACAGCAUUUGUGU